CAAUGUUAAUUACAGGAUGAAGAGAGACUGUCCUGCACGCAAGACGAGAAAAAACUCAAUGAGAGUGACUUUCGUGAACAGCAGUCAGAUAAAGACAUUUUCACAGGUCAGACUUGAAGUCCUUGAGAAAAGCGGUGUACCAGAUGAAAGGAAGCAACCCUUCUUUCCUCACAAAUGGCUUAAAGGACAACAGAGGGGCUCCACAAAGAUAAAAAAACAUACAUGUCAAGUGACUGUAUAACAUUGCAGUUAACUAGGCCCUAUACCCAAGUUCUCUCACGCCAUGUUUAAUUCAUGCAUAGAUAAGGUUCAAUGAAUAUUAACAGGCAAAAAUCAGUACUCUGUUUCAAGCCUAAAUUAAAUUGUCUAAUUCAGUUGUAAUGUUGGUUAAUAGUGUAGCUGUCCUUGUGAAUGAUUAACAAUUUGUAUGGUUGUUGCUAGAAUUCCAUUGAUUGAGCCUGUAUAAAAGAAAUUUCAGGCUGAUAUCAAUGUUGAGCAAAAAUCUUUAUUAAAAUUUUUUUGUUCAAUGAAA